rnacentral:rRNA from 1 species
UGAGGUAAAGGCUCACCAAGCCCGACGAUCUGUAGCUGGUCCUGAGAGGACGACCAGCCACACUGGGACUGAGACACGGCCCCAGACUCCUACGGGAGGCAGCAGUGGGGAAUUUUGGACAAUGGGCGCAAGCCUGAUCCAGCAAUGCCGCGUGCAGGAUCGAAGGCCUUCGGGUUGUAAACUGCUUUUGUACGGAACGAAACGGUGAGCUCUAAUACAGUUUGCUAAUGACGGUACCGUAAGAAUAAGCACCGGCUAACUACGUG